UGGCUCAGAGGUUAAAGCGUCUGCCUCUAAUGCGGGAGACCCGGGUUCAAUCCCUGG
rnacentral:tRNA from 1 species